AUUGAACGCUGGCGGCAGGCCUAACACAUGCAAGUCGAGCGGAUGAAGGGAGCUUGCUCCUGGAUUCAGCGGCGGACGGGUGAGUAAUGCCUAUGAAUCUGCCUGGUAGGGGGGGAUAACGUCCGGAAACGGGCGCUAAUACCGCAUACGUCCUGAGGGAGAAAGUGGGGGAUCUUCGGACCUCACGCUAUCAGAUGAGCCUAGGUCGGAUUAGCUAGUUGGUGGGGUAAAGGCCUACCAAGGCGACGAUCCGUAACUGGUCUGAGAGGAUGAUCAGUCACACUGGAACUGAGACACGGUCCAGACUCCUACGGGAGGCAGCAGUGGGGAAUAUUGGACAAUGGGCGAAAGCCUGAUCCAGCCAUGCCGCGUGUGUGAAGAAGGUCUUCGGAUUGUAAAGCACUUUAAGUUGGGAGGAAGGGCAGUAAGUUAAUACCUUGCUGUUUUGACGUUACCAACAGAAUAAGCACCGGCUAACUUCGUG
rnacentral:rRNA from 1 species